rnacentral:tRNA from 1 species
UAAAUUGUAGUAUAACUAAUACACUCAACUUCGGAUUGAUUAAUGCUUAACUGCCUUUUUAC